UCUAAUAUGGCAGAUUAGUGCAAUGGAUUUAAACCCCAUAUAUAAAGUUGAACUUUUUUUAGAA
rnacentral:tRNA from 1 species